rnacentral:rRNA from 1 species
UGGGGAAUAUUGGGCAAUGGGCGAAAGCCUGACCCAGCAACGCCGCGUGAAGGAAGAAGGUCUUUGGAUUGUAAACUUUUGUCCUAUGGGAAGAAGGAAGUGACGGUACCAUGGGAGGAAGCCCCGGCUAACUACGUGCCAGCAGCCGCGGUAAUACGUAGGGGGCGAGCGUUGUCCGGAAUUACUGGGCGUAAAGGGCGCGCAGGCGGCCGAUCAAGUUAGAUGUGAAAUACCUGGGCUUAACCUGGGAACUGCAUUUAAAACUGGUUGGCUAGGAGUGCAGGAGAGGGAAGCGGAAUUCCUAGUGUAGCGGUGAAAUGCGUAGAUAUUAGGAGGAACACCAGUGGCGAAGGCGGCUUUCUGGACUGUAACUGACGCUGAGGCGCGAAAGCGUGGGGAGCGAACAGGAUUAGAUACC